CCGGAGUUUCAUUUAUUUUAUUACGUCAGUGGAUUGAGGCCGAUCCACGCCAUUUUUCUGCCGAUGCUGAUUUCUUCGAGUUACUCCUAAAGGAAAAAGCUGAGAAGACCAGCCUCCCCUGCACCCAGCUAUGUGUCCAUGAGCAGUGACGGGUCAAUGGAUCGUCAUCGUGCUAAAGUGAAGAAAAAAAGAUGCGGUUCUGUUGGUCCCAGGAAAAAGCUGAGAAGAGAAGCCUCUCCUGUGUCCAUGAGGAGCCACAAGUCCAGGGAUCAACGUCCGGUAUUUAAAGAUGGAUGCCGUUCUGCUGAUCAAAG